rnacentral:misc_RNA from 1 species
AUAUCUUGCACACUUGGGUGGUCGAUCUGGGGUUGAAGGGCGAACUGUUGAACAACAAGUUCUAGAAUCCAAUCCCGUUCUUGAAGCAUUUGGAAAUGCCAAAACUGUGAGAAACAACAACUCAAGUCGCUUUGGUAAAUUUGUUGAGAUACAAUUUGAUAAGAGUGGGAGGAUAUCUGGGGCAGCUAUACGAACUUACCUUCUGGAGAGGUCUCGCGUCUGUCAAAUCUCAAAUCCCGAGAGAAACUACCAUUGCUUUUAUCUUCUUUGUGCUGCUCCAGCUGAGGAGGUAGAGAGAUAUAAACUAGGGAACCCAAAAUCAUUUCACUAUCUU